AGUGAACGCUGGCGGUAGGCCUAACACAUGCAAGUCGAACGGCAGCACAGUAAGAGCUUGCUCUUACGGGUGGCGAGUGGCGGACGGGUGAGGAAUACAUCGGCAUCUACUUUUUCGUGGGGGAUAACGUAGGGAAACUUACGCUAAUACCGCAUACGACCUACGGGUGAAUCCACGGGAUCCUUGGACUUUGCGCCUCUGAAUGAGCCGGUGCCGUCUUAGCUAGUCGGCGAGGUAAAGGCCCCCCUAGCCGACGCACCAUAGCCGGUCUGAGAGGUUGUUCGGCCAAACAGGAACUAAGGCACAGUCCAGACUCCUACAGGAGGCGCCAGUGGAGAAUCUUGGUCAAUGGACGCAAGCCUGAUCCAGCCAUACCGCGUAGGUGAAGAAGGUCUUCGGCUUGUAAAGCCCUUUUAUUGGGAAAGAAAAGCAGCAGGUUAAGAACCCGCUCUUCUGACGGUACCCAAAGAAUAAGCCCCGGCUAACUUCGUG
rnacentral:rRNA from 1 species